UUUAAAUAGUUAAAGGAUCAUUUUCUCUUACUUUGAGUCAUUAGACGGUACUUUUCCCUUAAGAAAAACUUUGCAAAUAUAGGUUGGCAACCAAAGCUAGGGAGAAAAAUCAUGACAAAUUGUCAGAUUCUAAAUUGAUGGAUAAAAUUUAUGCCGUCGUAAAAAAACAUCAAGAUUUAUAGACAAAUUCUGACCAGCAACAAAUUCUGACAAUUUUCAAACUAGUGCGAAACAUGUUUAUCCCAAAUCCUGACGAAUCAUCGGGAUUUGUGAUCAAGUUCUAAUGAAUCGCCGGGGAUUGAUAGUAUUAGCUCAAUUACAUACUCAAUUUCAACCAUAAAUAAAUAAAUAACGAGUCUUCAAUUUUCUACAACAUAUUGAAGGAGGAGAAGAAGAAUGGAGAAGGAAGAUGAAUUUUGGCAGAAUGCGAUUCUUGCACAAAUUCGGAUAAAUAAAUGUAUAUCUGUCUUUAAGGAAGCGAUCCUGUAAAAAACAGUCAGACGUUUCGAGAAACGGCAGCUGUUGACUUGUUAUUUUUUCUACUAUUUUAGUGAAAUAUUAUUAUUAUAGAGGUCUAACUGUAAUUGUCUAUUAUAUGAACAUUGGCCCGUGCUUAGCCUGAAUAAUACUCUACUACCUAAGAGAGGAUAAGCAGGUGUUUGAUAAAAUUCCUCCCUCUUUUAGCUUUAUUGUGUUUUCCCUCUGUUCACUUUAAAUUCUGGCUAGGCUUAUGCACAGUCCUAAUGCCCUUAUGACAACGACGAAGUAUCUAAAUGUGUGCUUCAUUUUAUUUCCGCUUUCUGUUCUACUUUUUCCUGACCAUUUACCUUUGUUUGAUUUGUAUAGGUAUUUCUUGGAUAGUGAUGAAAACCAUUUUGACAAUCUCGGAUUUUGAAAGGAGAUAGCUUCAUAAUAGACGCAUAUGAGAGAUCAAAGAGUACAACUGAGUUUUCUGAUUGGCUAAUUCAUGUUUACAGGAAUGAGUAUAUCUCACUUUUAUGCUAAAUCUGAACCUUCGGCUCAUAGCUGAAACAUACGAUUGAGGAAUGACGAUGAUGGAUGCCUAGGCGAUUGUGAAGGAACUGAGGGUGACGUAUCGCGAGUGGGAAGAUGAAGGGAGAAUGGCGGAAUUGAAAGCUCUGUUGAAGAUUGUUGAGCUUCACGAGAAGGAUAUCAUCAAUCUCUGAAUACCAACUGCAGAGGAUAAACGGACUAAUGGCUUAUGAGGAAAAGAACAAGCAUCCCUGCUCAACAAAUAGAGCUGCUGAAAUGAAGCUUAGGCGACAUGAAAUGUAUAAACUGAUAUCUGUUGAAAAAAAGGAAGCGCAACAACUACAACGUCGAAUGAAAAGACAAGAGGUGAAAAUAAAUGCUUUUUUUGAGGCUGCAGCUUCUUCCGUGCCAGCUCAAUGUGCGCCUUACUUUCAAGCCUGCUGCCUUGCAUCUCAACAACUAAACUUCCAUCCAGGGGACUUUGCUUCUGUUUCUGCAACAGGUCAUACCUUUAAACUUUUCUUGAUUCCUACAUAUGAUUAUAAUUAAAUGACACUAAAUGUGUGUUCUACCACACGUGUUAGCCAAUAAAUCUCAGCCUGUGGCUUUGCCUCUUGCCUCUGACAAGCAAAAGAGUGUAACACCUUUCUGUGUGUAUGAUGUCGAUAAGUACCGCAGCUAAAAUACUGCAUUUUUUCUUUUAUGAUACAAUUACUAGAUCAAACUAACUUACUAACUUUUGACAUUGGGCUCGACAUAAGGUGCGUCUAACUCAAAAUGUGUUAUGAGUUGAAGGAUUAUUGAAAACAAAGAUCACAGACAACGCAGAACAGGCUGUGUAAACAUAGCUAACCUGCAAUUGGGCUACAUGCCUCUGAAGAUUGUCCCUAAUUGUAAAUUUUACGGUGCAAAAAAGGUUUGAAUAUGAGUUACCUGGAUUUUCUUGCGGCAAGGGUUCAAUCAUGAUAGUUUCUGAUCUGGUAACUGCUGAACUACACAAUCUAUAUGUAGGCUGCACUGAAGAAUCUGAACAUUUUCGCACAUACAGGACACAGUGUUAUCAAAGGCGCGCUUUAAGCUCGCUUAAGCCCUGAAGCGAGGCUGAAAACAUGUUGAGCGCUUCGCCUCGCUUUAUGUGCGCUUCAGUGUCGUCAUCAAGGCUCUAAAACAUACUUUUCCUUGCCAAUGAGCCUCUCUUGAGGAGGUGACACUAGAUGAUUGAUAUUUCACUUUAUCUUAAUAUUUUUACAAUUUCUUUGUCCAUAUAUUUGUUAUUCAUGCUUAUUAUUAUUAAUCUUGGACUAAACAUAUAUAUAUUUGUAUUUUUGCACCAUUGCGCUUUUUUUCAUUAAAGCCCACGCUUUAUAUGCGCUUCGCAAUGGAAAUCUCAUUCAUUUCACUAUAUCCAAUGGGUUGGUUGUCCCGAGUUGGGUUGAUUGUUUGCUGGUAAACACAAUUUUCAGGCCAUCACAGAUGAUUGGGUUCUAGAAGAGGACUUUGGCAAUGAACAAACUGAGAACUUCUCUACCAAUAUAGCUGACGUGUUUUGGGUUCUAGCAUGGCUGUUCUUUUUGUCGUAAAGGAUCAUAGUGUAAUCUUGGUUCUGAACCUUUGUUGAAUUAAUAAUACAAAAAAAGAUUUUGUAACCAUGUUCAUUGUGACCUCGGUCAAUGUCUAAAGAUUUUGGUUGUCUGUGAUUUGCAAUUGGCAAUGCAGGAGGAGCACAGGUGGAAUUAAAAAAAUCUGAGGACUAUGCAAAAGUUUAGAUCACAAAAUGGUGGAGGCAUGAAUGUCAUAGUAGACCGACAUAAUCAUUUAGCACGAGACGCAUUCAAGGUGAAAUGUUUUAUCAAAUUUCUCUUUGAUGUCUUUUUAGUCUUUCCAAUGAUUGUAUCACUAAUUGUUUAUAUUCCCUUUUGACAUCCUAAAUUGUUAAAGUGAAGUCAACCCGUCAGCUCUAUGUCCAUACACUUGGCCUCCUAUGUGAUUUCGUUUCUCUCCCAUUUAGACUGUUCUAUGGUUCCCACAGUGCAAUGGAGGGAAUGUAUAUACAAGAACUGAAAUUUUAGUUGAUUCCUUUGUUUUAUUCAUCCUCAUCUAUGGCUUCUCACCUUUAGACAUGUUAUUUUUAUUUGAAGUCUGCAAUUAUUAGAGCUUGAAGUAGAUUUAGACUUUUGCAGGAAGGUUACUAUCUUCAUGUAAGAUCUCUUUCUUUCAGAAUUUGCCAUACUGUAUUAUUGUUCUUGUAUGUAUGAUGAAUUAGUUUUGGAAAGUUAACAAUUAGUCAUGGCUUGUUCAUACUGGUAUUGUCAGGUUGCCAAAUAUUAGUAUAUUGGGCUACAUGCCUCUGAAGAUUGUCCCUAAUUGUAAAUUUUGCGGUGCAAAAAAGGUUUGAAUAUGAGUUACCUGGAUUUUCUUGCGGCAAGGGUUCAAUCAAGUUAGUUUCUGAUCUGGUAACUGCUGAACUACACAAUCUAUAUAUAGGCUGCACUGAAGAAUCUGAACAUUUGCGCACAUACAGGACAUAUAAUAAUAUGUUUGCAUUUACAUCGGUUGCUGUGAAUUACGAUAAAGAAUUGGCAAAAAGGAACCAUGGUAUUUAUACGUUUAGAGUUCAUGGUCAGAUGUAUCAUUUUAUAAAUGACUUUCCUGUUUGGAUUGACUUAUUUUAUGUGCUUUUAAGGCAAAAUAGUUUUUAAUUACUUUUGUAGUGUUCGGGUAAAAUAAAAAAAAUGCUUUUAGGCGUUUAUUUUUAAGCCAAAAUGACAAAGAUAAGUCAAAAGUCUUCUAACGUAUGGCUUUUGGCUAAUAGGUUAAAAGCCAUAAGUCAAUCCAAACGGGCUCUUACUCCCUCCUGAUCAAAUAGCAAGAAGCCUACAGCUAUACUUACGAUUAUACUGCUACAAAAUUAUUUACAUAACAAAAAUAGUAACAACUGCUCCACAACUAUAUUGUAUCCCUUCCUGUGCACCAAUUUACAGCUUAAUGACUAACUAUUUUGUUUAAACAGAUUGGAGAACAAAAGCUGAGCGCGACAAUGCUCACCCAGAUGGUGUAGCAUGUAUAGCUGCAUUUUGCUAAGCCACACUAAUCAUUUUACCAGCAAUGCUUGAUAGAAGCUUUGGCGCUUGAUAAAAGCUUCACAUAUUCGCUCUACUCACCAAAAUGCCCCAAAUUUUUGUGUAGAUUACUGUAAAGUGUGUACCUAUGUUUGUAGAGACAAGUGCUGCACAUUUUGGAUAUGGAAAAGUACUAUUGUUGCACUUAAGCAACCUUUGUACAAUGUCUUACCACGGACAAAAUAUACGUAGUAACAUAUUAAUUGUGGAUACUUAGUAGUAA